AUUGAACGCUGGCGGCAGGCCUAACACAUGCAAGUCGAGCGGUAACACAGGGAGCUUGCUCCCGGGUGACGAGCGGCGGACGGGUGAGUAAUGUCUGGGAAACUGCCUGAUGGAGGGGGAUAACUACUGGAAACGGUAGCUAAUACCGCAUAACGUCGCAAGACCAAAGAGGGGGACCUUCGGGCCUCUUGCCAUCAGAUGUGCCCAGAUGGGAUUAGCUAGUAGGUGGGGUAACGGCUCACCUAGGCGACGAUCCCUAGCUGGUCUGAGAGGAUUACCAGCCACACCGGACCGGAGACACGGUCCAGACUCCUACGGGAGGCAGCAGUGGGGAAUAUUGCACACAGGUCGCCAGCCUGAUGCAGCCAUGCCGCGUGUAUGAAGAAGGCCUUCGGGUUGUAAAGUACUUUCAGCGGGGAGGAAGGCGAUAAGGUUAAUAACCUUGUCGAUUGACGUUACCCGCAGAAGAAGCACCGGCUAACUUCGUGCCAGCCGCCGCAGUAAUAC
rnacentral:rRNA from 1 species